rnacentral:rRNA from 1 species
AUGAACGCUGGCGGCGUGCUUAACACAUGCAAGUCGAGCGAGGCCAGGGGGGCAACUCCCUGAGUCGAGCGGCGGACGGGUGAGUAACACGUGGGUAACCUGCCCGGAAGUGGGGAAUACCUCGGGGAAACUCGAGCUAAUACCGCAUGACAUCUUCGGAACGAGAGUUCUGACGAUCAAAGCGGGGGGUCGCAAGAUCUCGCGCUACCGGAUGGGCCCGCGCCCGAUUAGCUAGUUGGCGAGGGUAACGGCUCACCAAGGCAUCGAUCGGUAACCGGCCUGAGAGGGCGAUCGGUCACACCGGAACUGAGACACGGUCCGGACUCCUACGGGAGGCAGCAGUGGGGAAUCUUGCGCAAUGGGCGAAAGCCUGACGCAGCAACGCCGCGUGGAGGAUGAAGGCCCUUGGGUUGUAAACUCCUGUCGGCUGGGAAGAAAUCGUUCGGGGCUCAUACCUCCGGACGUUGACUGUACCAGCAAAGGAAGCCCCGGCUAACUACUGUGCCAGCAGCCGCGGUAAUACAGUAGGAGGCAAGCGUUAUCCGGAAUUCACUGGGCGUAAAGGCGCGUGCAGGCGGUGCGGUAGUUGGCGUGAAAUCUCCUCGGCUCAACUGAGGAUAGGUGCGGUCAAGAACUACCGUAGGCUUGAGAGUCAGGAGAGGGAGAUGGAAUUCCCGGUGUAGUGGUGAAAUGCGUAGAUAUCGGGAGGAACACCAGGUGGCGAAGGCGAUUUCCUGGACCGGUUUACUGACGCUGCAGGCGCGACAGCGUAGGGUAGUAAACGGGAUUAGAUACCCCGGUAGUCCUAGCCGUAAACGAUGUGAACUUGGCGUUGGUGGGUUAAGACUCCAUGCAGUGCCGCAGCUAAAUGCAUAAGUGCACCGCCUGGGGAGCUACGGUCCGCAAGGUGAAAACUCAAAGGAAUUGACGGGGGCCCGCACAAGCGGCUGGAGCGUGUGGUUUAAUUCGAAUGCUACACGAAGAACCUUACCCAGGCUUGACAUACAGGUGGUAGAGAUCCGAAAGGUGACCGACCCGCAAGGGAGCCUGAACAGGUGUUGCAUGGCUGUCGUCAGCUCGUGUCGUGAGAUGUUCGGUUAAGUCCGCUAACGAGCGCAACCCUCGCUGCGUGUUACAAGUGUCACGCAGGACCGCCGGUAUUAAGCCGGAGGAAGGUGGGGAUGACGUCAAGUCAGCAUGGCCUUUAUGCCUGGGGCUACACACACGCUACAAUGGGCAGUACAAUGGGUUGCUAAGCCGCGAGGUGGAGCCAAUCCCCCAAAACUGUCCUCAGUUCAGAUUGCAGGCUGCAACUCGCCUGCAUGAAGCCGGAGUUGCUAGUAAACGCGCGUCAGCUAUAGUGCGUUGAAUACGUUCUCGGGCCUUGUACACACCGCCCGUCACGUCAUGGGAGCUGGUAACACCUGAAGCCGGUAGCCUAACCGCAAGGAGGGCGCCGUCGAAGGUGGGGCUGGUGACUGGGACGA